GCCAAACAUCCGUCAGAUUAAGGAGAGGAAGAGGAGGAAGUGGGCCCAGGAGGCCCAACUCAGGCCCUCCAGGAGCCACCGACCCAAUCAUCAUCCAGCUCCUCGUCUGCUGGACCCACGACGUCCACCGCUAGUGGACUUCAUGGAGUCAUCAGCAGCGACAGCACGGCGCACUCUGGUCUCCAUCCUCCAGAGACCAGAACGGCGUCUCCAGAGCCCCCAGGAAAUGUGAUUCAAAGUCGUGUCGUCAUAGAGUUGUGUGUUUUGUUGUUCUAAUGUAUUGGUUCAUUGUUGUCGUUGCCUUUUAAAGUAACAUAAUGUAACAAUUGUACCUUAAAAUAACAGCUUGAAAGAA